CAUCAAACAAUAGAAAAACAAUUUCUUGUAAGUUUCCAUUUUUGACCAAUAAAAACAUAAGGAUUUUGUUUUUUGAGCGGAGAAAAUUCACUUUUAUUUCUUUUCAUAUUCUUGAAAAAAAUACAACCGGAGGAUACGUAAAACAAGAAAUAGAAUUGGUCUGGUCUAAACUUGAAAUAUAGGUGUGCUUAUACAGUAUGCAUGAGAAGCAAUGUAUACAGGACACCUUUAGCACAGUUUACUAAAGGUAAAACAUGCAAAUGUGUUAUGUGAUUUUUAAGAUAUCAGAA